GGAGGAAAAGAACUAACAAGGAUUCCCCUAGUAACUGCGAGUGAAGCGGGAAAAGCUCAAAUUUGAAAUCUGGCAGUCUCUGACUGUCCGAGUUGUAAUCUAGAGAAGUAAUGCCCGCGCUGGACCGUGUAUAAGUCUCCUGGAAUGGAGCGUCAUAGAGGGUGAGAAUCCCGUCUCUGACACGGACUACCAGGGCUUUGUGGUAUGCUCUCAAAGAGUCGAGUUGUUUGGGAAUGCAGCUCAAAAUGGGUGGUAAAUUCCAUCUAAAGCUAAAUAUUGGCGAGAGACCGAUAGCGAACAAGUACCGUGAGGGAAAGAUGAAAAGAACUUUGGAAAGAGAGUUAAACAGUACGUGAAAUUGCUGAAAGGGAAACGCUUGAAGUCAGUCGCGUUGGCCAGGAAUCAGCCUUGCUCUUGUAGGGUGUAUUUUCUGGUUGACGGGUCAGCAUCAAUUUUGACUGCUGGAAAAAGGCUUGAGGAAUGUAGCAGCUUUGGCUGUGUUAUAGCUUCUUGUCACAUACAGCAGUUGGGAUUGAGGAACUCAGCAUGCCGCAAGGCCGGGUCAUUUGACCACGUUCAUGCUUAGGAUGCUGGCAUAAUGGCUUUA
rnacentral:rRNA from 2 species